rnacentral:rRNA from 1 species
UUUAAAGACCUAGCAAUAGGUAUGCUUAGGGAAGAGCUUGCGUCACAUUAGUUAGUUGGUGGGGUAAUGGCCUACCAAGACGAUGAUGUGUAGCCGGGCUGAGAGGUCGAACGGCCACAUUGGGACUGAGACACGGCCCAAACUCCUACGGGAGGCAGCAGUAAGGAAUUUUCGGCAAUGGAGGAAACUCUGACCGAGCAAUGCCGCGUGAACGAUGAAGUAUUUUGGUACGUAAAGUUCUUUUAUUAGGGAAGAAAAGAUGGUGGAAAAACCAUUAUGACGGUACCUAAUGAAUAAGCCCCGGCUAACUAUGUGCCAGCAGCCGCGGUAAUACAUAGGGGGCAAGCGUUAUCCGGAAUUAUUGGGCGUAAAGGGUGCGUAGGCGGUUAAAUAAGUUUAUGGUCUAAGUGCAACGCUCAACGUUGUGAUGCUAUAAAAACUGUUUAGCUAGAGUUGGAUAGAGGCAAGUGGAAUUCCGUGUGUAGUGGUAAAAUGCGUAAAUAUACGGAGGAACACCAGAAGCGAAGGCGGCUUGCUGGGUCUUAACUGACGCUGAGGCACGAAAGCGUGGGGAGCAAACAGGAUUAGAUACCCUGGUAGUCCACGCCCUAAACGAUGAGUACUAAACGUUGGAUAAAACCAGUGUUGAAGUUAACACAUUAAGUACUCCGCCUGAGUAGUACGUACGCAAGUAUGAAACUUAAAGGAAUUGACGGGACUCCGCACAAGCGGUGGAUCAUGUUGUUUAAUUCGAAGGUACCCGAAAAACCUCACCAGGUCUUGACAUGCUUUUGCAAAGCUGUAGAAAUACAGUGGAGGUUAUCAGAAGCACAGGUGGUGCAUGGUUGUCGUCAGCUCGUGUCGUGAGAUGUUGGGUUAAGUCCCGCAACGAGCGCAACCCUUGUUGUUAAUUGCCAUCAUUAAGUUGGGGACUUUAGCAAGACUGCCAAUGAUAAAUUGGAGGAAGGUGGGGACGACGUCAAAUCAUCAUGCCCCUUAUGACCUGGGCUACAAACGUGAUACAAUGGCUGUUACAAAGGGUAGCUAAAGCGUAAGCUUCUGGCGAAUCUCAAAAAAACAGUCUCAGUUCGGAUUG